AUGCAUCUGCGCCCCGAGGCCGUGGCCUCCUCGUCCCGAUUCAAGGGAGAAUCGUCGGAUCCGCAUCAAGCCACCAUCCCCUGCCUCGCCAGCGCCACCUUUCUCCGCAUCCGGCUCGUCCCGGACCUCCCAUGCAAACUCUCGCUGCAGUGUCGAGUUCCUGCUACUGCUAAUGCCUUGCUGGAGCGCUCCGCCGCGCCAAGUCCUCGCCGCUGGCCUUCCCCACGCCCGUUGUUCCCGACCCAGGAGCCUCGUUUGAGCGCCGCCUCCACCUCAGGCAAGCCUGCCGUCAACCGCUGUGAGAAGAAGUGCUGCUACCCGUCUUCGUUGACACCACAGGAGCUCCACUGCUGUGUCUCUUUGCCAUUUCGUGAGCAUAAGAAUCACUGUCGCCAAGUUCAUCUACGGUGGCCAUACAGACCGCCAAGUUCAACUACGAUCCAUCAAGACCACCGUGCUGCACGUCAACAUGGGUACGACCACGAACGGCUACCUCCAGAUGGAUUUCGUCAAGUUCCGCUUCAACAAGUGUACCUCUACCGUCGACCCUCAAAGAACCGUGGACGUCAAGUUUCUCGCCGUGACCGUGAACAUCUACGAAAAUGUUGUAUGACUACUACCGUGGCCGAAGACCCGUGCACGACUACCGUUGCCGUGUACCACUACUUCCACUACAAACGCCCCGAGAAUGUCUACUUCCUCUACUUUGCACCGAACGAGAACCAUCCCAUUUGCACGCUUCGAAGUUCCGAUAACGUCGCGUUUGUGAGGAUCCGUUCGACUACGUCCGUUUGUCUUCCUCAUGGAAUCGUUCUUCUUCCUUGCGGGAUUUCAGGUGCCGAUGAUACCAGUGCAGGUGACGCAACUGAGCUCAAGCGGGAGCUCGAUGAAGACAUUUUCAUUGUUGUGUUUUGUUUCCUUUUGAUCAGUAGUGGAGCCCAGUUGGGACGAUCGGGGAUCUAG
rnacentral:rRNA from 1 species